AAGAGACACACGCCUUUAAUCCUAGCAUUCGGGAGGCUGAGUCACUCACCAGGGCCCCGGCGCCGUCUCGAUGGCUCCACCAUCCAUGGUGCUUUCCCUUUCUCCAACAAGGUGAUGAUAUUUGGUCUCCGACUGACAAGACCUGGACGUGGAACAGACAAGAGAACCGACCAUUAGCUGUAGAACUCUCAGCUCCCUCUCCAGCACCACGUCUGUCGUAAUGCUGCCACGCUCCCUGCCGUGACGACAAAGGAGUGAACCUCUGAACGAUAAGCCAGCCCCAAAUAAAUGUUUCCCUAAGAGUUGUCAAGAUCCAGAUGUAGAACUCUGAGCUCCCUCUCCAGCACUAUGUCUGCCUCCACACUGCCAUGGUCCGCCACGACAAUAAUGGACUGAACCUCUGAAACUGGCCUCAAGCAGCCAAGGCUAGCCCGGACUCACUAUGUAGCCAAAGAUGACCUUAAACUCUCCAGGUUCCUGUUUCUAUCUCCUGAGUAAUAAGUGCUGGGAUUAAAGGUGUGCACCACCACUGGCUGGCUGGAAAUUAUGAGAAAUUGCCCUGGAGCUGAUGCGACACUCAUCCCGUCAUCUCCAGUGGUGAGGCAGGCAUCAUUUCCCCCUGACUUUGAUGGUUCACAUUCAGAGGCUGAGGCGGACUGCUGGUGGAAAAGAAAAAUCAUGAAGCUCGAUGCUUUGGAGUGGUCCCAAAGUCCCUGGUCUCCAAUCACCUCUCCAAAGGCCCAGGCACUUGGAACAAGUCCGUCCGUCCGUCCGUCCGUCCGUCCAUCCAUCCAGUGUGUGUGUGUGUGUGUGUGUGUGUGUGUGUGUGUGUGUGUGUGAGUAUGUGUCCCUCCGUCUGUCCCACGCUUGGGGUUGGGAAGAAGCAAGGAGGGAAUCCUACAACACCCAGCCCCUAUAAUCACAGCGGGCUCCCGAUCAGACCACAAAUGAAGAAAUGUGCAGACACCCACCCAGCCCUCCAUCUGCCCGGUGACUGCCGGUGCCAGGCACCGCAACCAGAGUCCAAGCGAGAAGGAACCUGUUGCCGUGUACCGUCGUUCACGCAAGGAAAACAAGCCCGCGUGGCACAUGGCGACUUAGGCUCAAGAGCAAGGACCCUGACCGUUCCGUUCGCUGGCCUGCUCCCAGAGCUACCACACCCAGAGAAGCUGCCUAACAAAAAGCAUACGCUGGGGCUGGGAAUUUAAGAAGUAAUCGUAAUAAUUGCUGGUUGGAUUAAUUACUUAAAAGAUUAGUAAACACUGACUACACAUGA